rnacentral:rRNA from 1 species
GACGAACGCUGGCGGCAGGCCUAACACAUGCAAGUCGAGCGCGCCCUUCAGGAUCAGCGGCGGCCGGGUGAGUAACGCGUGGGGACAUGCCCUUCUCUGCGGAAUAGCUACGGGAAACUGAGAGUAAUACCGCAUACGCCCUUUUGGGGAAAGAUUUAUCGGAGAAGGGUCGGCCCUCGUUGGAUUAGGUAUUUGGUGGGGUAAUGGCUCACCACGCGGACGUUCCAUAGCUGGUUUGGGAGGAUGAUCAGCCACACUGGGACUGAGACCCGGCCCAGAAUCUUUCGGAAGGCAGCAGUGGGUAAUGUUACAUAAGGGGGGCAAUUCUGAUCUAGCCAUGUCGCGUGAGUUAUGAAUGCAGUAGGGUUGUAAAGCGCUAUCAGCUAGGAAGAUAAUGACGGUACCAGAACAGGAAGCCACGGCUAACUACGUG